UAGGGAAUCUUCCGCAAUGGGCGAAAGCCUGACGGAGCAACGCCGCGUGAGUGAAGAAGGAUUUCGGUUCGUAAAGCUCUGUUGUUAGGGAAGAAUGAUUGUGUAGUAACUAUACAUAGUAGAGACGGUACCUAACCAGAAAGCCACGGCUAACUACGUGCCAGCAGCCGCGGUAAUACGUAGGUGGCAAGCGUUGUCCGGAAUUAUUGGGCGUAAAGCGCGCGCAGGUGGUUUAAUAAGUCUGAUGUGAAAGCCCACGGCUCAACCGUGGAGGGUCAUUGGAAACUGUUAAACUUGAGUGCAGGAGAGAAAAGUGGAAUUCCUAGUGUAGCGGUGAAAUGCGUAGAGAUUAGGAGGAACACCAGUGGCGAAGGCGGCUUUUUGGCCUGUAACUGACACUGAGGCGCGAAAGCGUGGGGAGCAAACAGGAUUAGAUACCCUGGUAGUCCACGCCGUAAACGAUGAGUGCUAAGUGUUGGUCUCAUAAGAGAUCAGUGCUGCAGCUAACGCAUUAAGCACUCCGCCUGGGGAGUACGACCGCAAGGUUG
rnacentral:rRNA from 1 species